rnacentral:rRNA from 1 species
GACGAACGCUGGCGGCGUGCUUAACACAUGCAAGUCGAGCGGGAUCCUAACCGGGUGGCAACACCGGGGAAGAUCUAGCGGCGAACGGGUGAGUAACACGUGAGCAACCUGCCCCGAAGACUGGGAUAACACCGGGAAACCGGUGCUAAUACCGGAUGUCGUCAUUAGGCCGCAUGACCUGAUGAUGAAAGGAUUCAUCGCUUCGGGAGGGGCUCGCGGGCUAUCAGCUUGGNGGUGGGGUAACGGCCUACCAAGGCGACGACGGCUAGCUGGUCUGAGAGGACGACCAGCCACACUGGGACUGAGACACGGCCCAGACUCC